GACGAACGCUGGCGGCGUGCUUAACACAUGCAAGUCGAACGGAAAGGCCCUGCUUGCAGGGUACUCGAGUGGCGAACGGGUGAGUAACACGUGGGUGAUCUGCCCUGCACUUCGGGAUAAGCCUGGGAAACUGGGUCUAAUACCGGAUAGGAGCCAUUUUUAGUGUGAUGGUUGGAAAGUUUUUUCGGUGUAGGAUGAGCUCGCGGCCUAUCAGCUUGUUGGUGGGGUAAUGGCCUACCAAGGCGGCGACGGGUAGCCGGCCUGAGAGGGUGGACGGCCACAUUGGGACUGAGAUACGGCCCAGACUCCUACGGGAGGCAGCAGUGGGGAAUAUUGCACAAUGGGCGCAAGCCUGAUGCAGCGACGCCGCGUGGGGGAUGACGGCCUUCGGGUUGUAAACCGCUUUCGCCUGUGACGAAGCGUGAGUGACGGUAAUGGGUAAAGAAGCACCGGCUAACUACGUG
rnacentral:rRNA from 1 species